UAAAGAGAUGUCAUCUGAUAACAAAAUAUAAAUUUUCCUGCCUAUCCAUAAUUUUGACCUAACAUGAUUAGAGACUAAAAAUCUGUCAACAAAGUUCCCCACUUUGCAACUACCAGCAGAAGUCGUGUCCCAAAAAUCUAGUGUGAACUAGACUUGGUUUUACACCAUUAAGUUGAUCGUUAUGAUUACUACACCUUAGAACAAUUGAAAAAUUGCAUACAAUUUUCAACUCCCUUUCUCGCAAAAUUUUCAGCAGUUGGUUAUAUAUCCUCAUAUAUAUCCCUCUAGGUUGUUAAGUUAUUUAAACCUUUAAGGAAUAUAAUAUACAAACAGAACAUUCAUUGGAACAGUAAAACCUUGCAGUAGAAACAAAUAAUUAGACCAAAACAG